GUCCCAGUAGCUCAGUAGGAUAGAGCAACAGCCUUCUAAGCUGUGGGUCGGGCGUUCGAAUCGCUCCUGGGACGUCA
rnacentral:tRNA from 1 species